rnacentral:rRNA from 1 species
UACGUAGGUGGCAAGCGUUAUCCGGAAUUAUUGGGCGUAAAGAGCGCGCAGGUGGUUGAUUAAGUCUGAUGUGAAAGCCCACGGCUUAACCGUGGAGGGUCAUUGGAAACUGGUCGACUUGAGUGCAGAAGAGGGAAGUGGAAUUCCAUGUGUAGCGGUGAAAUGCGUAGAGAUAUGGAGGAACACCAGUGGCGAAGGCGGCUUCCUGGUCUGUAACUGACACUGAGGCGCGAAAGCGUGGGGAGCAAACAGGAUUAGAUACA